ensembl:lincRNA
GGAAUUGUGAUUAUGACAUCAUAGACAGUUCAGCUGCUUGCACUGGGGGAAAGGGAGAGUAUCAUGGUUACAGCUGGAUCACCUAAGGCAGAGAGGGAAGGAACCAACAGGUAUAUGAAGAAGACUGUAUUUCCUCCUCAGGAAGAAAAAAUCACCUAUAAGAUCCAUGGCUAUAACUGCUACCAAGCUCUGGGCUGCAGUAGUGUAUCAUCCAUAACGCAAAUAAGGCAAUGGCCUGUACCAACAUAAUUAUUUAAAGUAAUUUGUAGCAUAUGUCCAAGCAAAGAGCUGCAAUUUAAAUAAGGCUAUUUUCAAAGGGGAGUUUGCUUUUCCUUUUCCUACACUGCAGGUAUUAGUAAAUCCUUUAUUUUUCAUAUACUGAUAUAAUUUGUUUUAUGAGUGCCUAUAUAUUUGCAUGUAUACUGAUAAUCUAUUAACCACUGCACAUUUUAUAUAGCUAAAUAUUUUUAUUUUCAAAAUUCUUUUGAAGCAUUCCAGGAAAUUGUGGAGCUCUACGAAGAAGAUCAAGUAUUUUCUUAUUUUUGAAGAUAUUGCGGAAAUAAAUAAAACAGCAUCUAGAUAAGUGCAAAAUGUUGAUUACAAUUAAUAUAAAAGCACAGCUUUCUGAAUGAUUUCCUGUUAUGAGAAAAGAACAGUUAGGAAAGUAAUUGACAAUUACUUAUAUGUUCAUUUAUUUAAAAUAUGUUUGAAGACCGAGUAAACUAUUAACAUAUUAAUAUACUCUGAUUAUCUAUUUCACUAAUUAAUACUCUUAGGUAUAUAUACAUGAUAAUAUAUAAUAAUAAGUUACUCUUUAGUAUUUUUUUGUCCAUUUUGAGAGUUUUGUAUUCUCAAGUAUACUCCCCAGGCUAGAGGGGAGAUGGUAUUAUUGGUAAAUGGAAACUUUCAGAACCCUUUAAAUCACACUAAGCAAGCAUCUACUCCAAUCUCUUCCCAUUUCAAAGUUGCAUAGGAGAAAAAAAUACCCUUUUGUUAGGUCAAAAGGCUCAUGUUAGGAGCGCUGUACUAUAAAGUAAACAAUUACUGAAUCUCUGUAGGUUUAAAUGCCAAAGAUAAAAGGAUGUACUAGACCUCUGAAAUUCUGAAAAGUUCCAAAUACUUCAUAACUAAAGAGGAGAGAGCACUGGUGAUAUUACCAUCCUAAAUACCUCUCUUUUUUCUUCC